UACGGAGGAUCCGAGCGUUAUCCGGAUUUAUUGGGUUUAAAGGGUGCGCAGGCGGGAAAUUAAGUCGGCGGUGAAAUUUUGCGGCUCAACCGUAAAAGUGCCUUCGAUACUGGUUUCCUUGAGUGUGGAUGAAGUAGGCGGAAUUUGUGGUGUAGCGGUGAAAUGCAUAGAUAUCACGAGGAACUCCGAUCGCGUAGGCAGCUUACUAAACCAUAACUGACGCUCAUGCACGAAGGCGUGGGGAUCAAACAGGAUUAGAUACCCUGGUAGUCCCU
rnacentral:rRNA from 1 species